CCUACGGGUGGCAGCAGUGGGGGAUAUUGCACAAUGGGGGAAACCCUGAUGCAGCGACGCCGCGUGUGGGAAGACGGUCUUCUGGAUUGUAAACCACUGUCCCCAGGGACGAAAAUGACGGUACCAAAGGAAUAAGCCCCGGCUAACUACGUGCCAGCAGCCGCGGUAAUACGUAGGGGGCAAGCGUUGUUCGGAAUGACUGGGCGUAAAGGGUGUGUAGGUGGUUUGAUAAGUUAGAUGUGUAAUACCCAGGGCUUAACUCGGGUGCUGCAUCUAAAACUGUUAGACUUGAGUACUGGAGAGGAUAGUGGAAUUCCUAGUGUAGCGGUGGAAUGCGUAGAUAUUAGGAGGAACAUCAGUGGCGAAGGCGACUAUCUGGACAGCAACUGACACUGAGGCACGAAAGCGUGGGGAGCAAACAGGAUUAGAUACCCCUGUAGUC
rnacentral:rRNA from 1 species